rnacentral:rRNA from 1 species
AUUGAACGCUAGCGGGAUGCCUUACACAUGCAAGUCGAACGGAGUGGCGAACGGGUGAGUAAUGUAUCGGAACGUGCCCAGUAGCGGGGGAUAACUACGCGAAAGCGUAGCUAAUAACGCAUACGAUUGAAGCGGCCGCAAUCGGAUUAGCUAGUUGGUGGGGUAACGGGUCACCAAGGAGGCGAUCCGUAGCUGGUGUGAGAGGACGACCAGCGACACUGGGACUUGGAAACGGCCCAGGGUCCUAAGGGAGGCAGCAGUGGGGAAUUUUGGACAAUGGGGGAAACCCUGAUCCAGGCAGCCGGCGUGUGCGAUGAAGGCUUUCGGGUUGCAAAGCACUUUUGGCAGGAAAGCGGUACCUGCAGAAUAAGCACCGGCUAACUACGUGCCAGCAGCCGCGGUAAUUC